rnacentral:rRNA from 1 species
GACGGGGGGUCCUAGCGUUGUUCGGAAUUAUUGGGCGUAAAGCGUGUGCAGGUUGUCUGAAAAGUUAGAUGUGAAAUCCUUGGGCUCAACCCAAGACGUGCAUUUAAAACUGCCAGACUUGAAUAUCGAAGAGGUUCGUGGAAUUCCAGGUGUAGUGGUGAAAUACGUAGAUAUCUGGAGGAACACCGGCGGCGAAGGCGGCGAACUGGUCGAAUAUUGACACUCAUACACGAAAGCGUGGGGAUCAAACAGGAGUUAGAAAACCCCAGUUA